UACGAAGGGGGCGAGCGUUGUUCGGAUUUACUGGGCGUAAAGGGCGCGCAGGCGGCGCAUUUUGUCAGGCGUGAAAGCCCCGGGCUUAACCUGGGAACUGCGUUUGAUACGGAUGGGCUAGAGUUCGGGAGAGGAGAGUGGAAUUCCCAGUGUAGAGGUGAAAUUCGUAGAUAUUAGGAAGAACACCAGUGGCGAAGGCGGCUCACUGGCCCGGUACUGACGCUCAUGUGCGAAAGCGUGGGGAGCAAACAGG
rnacentral:rRNA from 1 species